rnacentral:lncRNA from 10 species
GCAUGUGUUCAUCCUUAUGUGAAACGGAGCCCAUAUUGACCUAGCACCCAGUAUGUGCAAGGCGCUGGCUGAAUAGGGAGCUGCAGCGGGAGAUUUCAGCGUGAUCAUCACCUCAGAGACUUAAUAACUGGGUGUUUCUGCCCAGAUUCAGAAGUCUGUCCUUUUGUGAGCUGGAUUGUAAGGAGAUGACCAGAUGCUGAGAAAUUUUUAUUUGGAGGCUGAUUUUUUUUUUCUUUCAGUAAGUGGAAAAGCAAAGAAUUUGAAAGUGUUUUGGGAAAUCUGAACACCAGUUGAAUCUUGGUAAUGUUUAGGGGGUAUUAUUAAUUUUUAGGUGGAAUAAUGAUAAUGUGGCUAAGUUUGACAAGAAUCUAUUCUUUGGG